rnacentral:rRNA from 1 species
UACGGAGGGGGCAAGCGUUAUUCGGAAUUAUUGGGCGUAAAGAGCUCGUAGGCGGUCUGUCACGUCGGAUGUGAAAGCCCGGGGCUUAACCCCGGGUCUGCAUUCGAUACGGGCAGACUAGAGUGUGGUAGGGGAGAUCGGAAUUCCUGGUGUAGCGGUGAAAUGCGCAGAUAUCAGGAGGAACACCGGUGGCGAAGGCGGAUCUCUGGGCCAUUACUGACGCUGAGGAGCGAAAGCGUGGGGAGCGAACAGG